UGUGGCGAAUCAUGAGGGUCUGGGUACGAGCGCUCUCAUUGGUCAAUUUCGAUCAAUUUGAGAUUGUUGUGUUGUUUUUGUCAGCCAUGUUUUCUGUUCGUAAGGGAAGGAAGAAAUUUGUGCAAAAAGAGACAUGUAAAUUCUAAGUUUGUAUUCCAUUGUACAACAUGUAUGUUCUCAGUGGUUUGGAUACGUAGCUUACGAAGACUGAGGCGUUUUAGUGUGAUUUUUGUGGAUUUAGCGGAUAUUGAAUUUUACAGAGCGUUGUUCGACAUGACGAACAAACAAGAUCCAAGAUGACUGCCUACGAUAUUAAAUAACGAUUGUACUCGUAAACCUGUAUUCCGCAGAACAUAAUAUAUAGGCUAAGCCACACAGAAAUUGUUGAAUGACGUACUUUACAUGGUCAUAUCGAGAUUCGGGGUGCAUGUUCAGAGAACGGCUUCUUGAAAAAUUUUGAUCAGUAAAUGAAGGAGAUGAAGAAAGAAAUUAUCAAAACUUCUUGAUUCAAAUAUAUUGCGGAUUAUAAUCCCAAAAGGAGAACGAAAACUUUUCACAUCACUAUGAAAAGAUUGUCAAGGACUUCUUUGAUAAUAUUCGUCGAAACUGAAGCCAUAUCUGUGUUAUGAAACAAAAAUGGGAUAUUUUACUUCACUUGUGGCACGUGRUUUAUGUCAUAAACCAAACAUAAAUUUCACAAGGCUAUAAUCGSAAAAAAGGACAAAAGUUUUUGUGCUUAUUAUGAAAACUAGAAUAUACCCUACCUAAGCCACGAAGGACUGACUGGUAGUACUUAUUAGGACUGGAUAGAAGAGUUCUGACCUUCAGAUAAACCUGGUCCAGUAUCACUGUAAUCUUCAGUAUCUUCAUCACUGUCUUGUUCAUCAUCUGCUGAUGUACCUGAUUUGGGAACAUAUUCUUUAGUGAAUGUCAACUUGGCUUUUUCACAAACUGUAGUUGUCAAUUCUCGUAACAGAGAAGUGCAAAUUGUACAGCUUCCAGAUUUCUUGCAUAACUUGUGGACAAUGUGACUGCAUGGUAAUCGAAUGGAUUCUUGAUCAGGAAGUAUGAAAUUCUUGCAACAGUGGCAAAACAUCCUUAGMGACGGUGAUGUGUCUUCUCGUGUACACCCUUGACAACUUGUAAUUUUCAUCUGUUUCUGUGCUGGUGUCAAACUGUCAUUCAAGCGCUCCAAUAAAACUGCUUUUGUGCCGAUAGUGUUGAGGUUGUACAUGCUGCAUAGAGAUUUCAGCUCUUCUUUGUAUAAUGCUUUCAAUCGUAUGCUUCCAAGAUUAGGGACAAGGCAAAGCUGAUGAAACAUGUGGCCACAUUUUAAUCUGAUGCGGCUUUUGYACUUGAUGGAACCAUCUAACAGGCCUUCACAAAUAGAACAAACAACAGCACAAGAUGGAAGAGAACAUGGCAGUGGGAAUAGAUUUGCUGGAACAAGCCCAAAGACUUUGGUCUGAUAUGACAGCAGGCCUGUGGUUUUGUCAAAAGUUGCUGCUUCUUCAAGUGGAAUCUCUUCCUCUCCUAAACACUUAUUGAAAAGUAUUUUCAGGAAUGAUGUUGCAUCUUCCACAAGAGCAAAGAACUUUGGUCCCGUGCUAGGCAUUAGGUUAUGGGUGUAGCAGUCGAGGGGACGAACUUUAUACACAUCAUGGAUUGAUGCAACUUCCUCUUUCAUCAAGUCAACUGUAAUGGCACUGCUUUGAACUUGUUCUUCRGUAUCAUGUGGUUUGGUAUGUGCAGAUAACACUAGAAUAAUUUUUUAUAAAAACUACAUUAGGAGAUGUCUAAUACGAUGUGUAUAAUAUAUUCCACUUGUAUAAGUGAAUUAACAGUAGAAAAUAGUUUUUAUAAAGAAAGUUCACACAUGUGGAUAUUUUUUAAGUGUGCAGACAUCCACCUGUAUUCCACCCUAGAAUGUCUAAUAAGUUAUUUAUUUAUCCAACYAAUUUAAUUCUUCACAAAAGAAGACUUUGAGUAAAAUGUUUUUCUUUGUGUGACAUUUUACGUGACCCAAACUAGUUUUCAAAAACUGUGUUUUUUACUGUACAAAAUAACCGAGAGUGAAAAUACCGUAGCAUCUUUGUACUUGCUCCAGUCUUUCUUUUGUGAUAUUUUUACUUUACUGAUUAUAGCUGGAUAAUAAAUUCUGGUACCAUUGCAAAUAUUAUACCUGAGAAAAACAAUUCGCAGRCAACUUCAGAAAACUCUGGCAUCAUCUUAAAAAACUCUGUGAGCAUGGGAUGAUUUGUGUCUUGCCAGUAUUUCAGGCGGGAAAGGAAUACCAUACAGGCAUCUCUGUAAUGGUGUUUACCCAAACGAGCAAACAUUAUUUCUAGCCGUAGAAGUAUGAGAUGCCAUGAAUCUUUAUCAUUGGCCUUGAAUGCUGGGAUAAUAUCCAGAGCUAGACCUAGAUAUUCCUCAAAGAAGUUGACCAACAUUUGUACUGCAGGURUCCACUUUCUUUAUUUAUCAGCAUGUGAAAAAGAUAUUGAGAGUUAAAAAGUUAGAGWGUUAUAAAUUUAAGUCAAAGUAUCCAUAAAGGGAGUGUUAAGGAAUCUGUACUACAUUGGGAUAAGAGUAGGAAAUUGUCUAUACCAAUCAGGCUCACAAUCUCUAUAUCAUGCYUCAGUCCCUGUUUGUUUCAACGCUCAGUGUAUCAUGUGAUCUGUAUAUAAGAUGGUUACUACUGGUUA